rnacentral:misc_RNA from 1 species
CAAUGAGAAUGGAAAGGUGUUCCACUUAAAAUCCAAUCAGUCAUUGACAGAAUACGAGCACAGCUGAACUCGACCUUGUUUUACCAAAUCCAUAACCUCAGCCACUAAAAAGUUCUCUCUCCCUUUCUGUGUCUUUGCCAUCUGCUCUCUCGUUCUCUCUCCGUAGCAACUUGGCAUUCCUCUCGAAAAACUCAAAUCUUAAUUGCAGGGGGAGCCAUUUCUAGGGUUUUCUCUUCGUCUCUAAAUUGAAGAAACUGGUCUUUAAUGGUGGUCCUAAUGUGCUUCCGUUUGCAGAAUCCUGACCUUCAAUUCUAAUGACUUUCCCCACCAGUGAAUGGCUGGAUUUCACUCGUUCACUCCCUUCCAUUUCGCCAUUCUCGUAACCACGCUAAUUACAAACACUAACCUUGUUCUCUCCUCGAGUAGGGAGGAUUAUUUAUCAAUAAUCGAUUUCGAUUCCAAUCUCUUUCACCAGGAUUACUCCCCUCCGUCUCCACCGCCUCCGCCGCCGCACGCGCCGUCGGUUUCUUGCACCGAUGAUCUCGGCGGCAUAGGCUCUCUGGAUACCACUUGUCAGAUAGUCUCUGACGUGAACCUCACCCGUGACGUGUACAUAGAAGGGAAGGGCAAUUUUUAUAUCCAUCCCGGGGUGAGUUUCAGUUGUCCCUCUGCUGGUUGUUCUAUAACCGUUAACAUCACUGGCAAUUUCACUUUGUCAAUCAAUGCAUCGAUUGUUACUGGGAGCUUUGAGCUCGUGGCUCAUGAUGCGAGCUUUCUUAAUGGAACUUCAGUAAACACGACGGGAUUGGCUGGGAAACCGCCACCGCAGACGAGUGGAACCCCUCAGGGGAUAGAUGGUGCGGGAGGAGGGCAUGGUGGGAGGGGAGCUUGUUGCUUAGUGGAUGAUAAGAAGCUACCGGAGGAUGUUUGGGGAGGGGACGCGUACUCGUGGUCCUCUUUGCAGAAUCCGACGAGUUAUGGAAGCAGGGGAGGGAGUACGAGUAAGGAGGUGAGUUAUGGUGGGGGAGGGGGUGGAAAAGUAAAAUUGACAAUAAGUGACUAUGUGGUAGUGGAUGGCUACAUAUUGGCUGAUGGAGGUGACGGGGGUACCAAGGGAGGCGGUGGCUCUGGUGGCAGCAUCUGCAUAAAGGCCUAUAAAAUGACCGGAAGUGGCAGAAUAAGUGCUUGUGGAGGCAGUGGUUUUGCUGGUGGUGGUGGUGGAAGAGUUUCAGUUGACAUUUUCAGUAGGCAUGAUGAACCUCAAAUUUUUGUGCAUGGAGGAAGUAGUCGCGGCUGUCCAGAAAAUGCAGGUGCUGCUGGGACUUUAUAUGAUGCUGUUCCCCGGAGCCUUACUGUUAACAAUCACAACAUGUCGACAAAUACUGAGACUCUCCUUUUAGAGUUUCCAUAUCAGCCUCUUUGGACAAAUGUUUAUCUUCGAAAUUGUGCCAGGGCGACUGUACCCUUGCUUUGGAGUCGUGUCCAGGUCCAAGGACAAAUAAGUCUAUUGUGUGGCGGAGUGCUGAGCUUUGGUCUAGCUCAUUAUGCUUCAUCUGAGUUUGAAUUAUUGGCAGAAGAACUCUUAAUGAGCGACUCUGUAAUUAAGGUGUAUGGGGCUUUGCGCAUGACUGUAAAAAUUUUCUUAAUGUGGAAUUCCAAUAUGAUCGUAGAUGGUGGUGAAGAUGCAACUGUUGCAACUUCUUGGCUUGAGGCUAGUAACUUAAUUGUUCUUAAGGAAUCAUCUGUCAUACAAUCUAAUGCAAAUCUGGGAGUUCAUGGACAGGGUUUGUUAAAUUUAUCAGGACCAGGCAAUUCAAUUGAAGCUCAACGUCUGGUUCUAUCACUAUUUUACAGUAUUCAUGUUGGACCUGGAUCUGUUUUACGCGGUCCUCUGAAGAAUGUGACAAGUGAUGCCGUGACACCAAGACUCCAUUGUGAACUUGAAGAUUGCCCUAUUGAACUACUUCAUCCUCCUGAAGAUUGCAAUGUGAACUCAUCUUUGUCUUUUACUCUUCAGAUUUGCCGAGUGGAGGAUAUCACUGUUGAAGGGCUAUUAAAGGGAUCUGUUGUCCAUUUCCAUCGCGCAAGAACUGUAUCUGUCCCGUCUUCUGGAACAAUUAGUGCAUCUGGGAUGGGCUGCACAGGUGGAGUGGGUGGAGGUCAGGUUUUAGAAAAUGGUGUUGGCAGUGGUGGUGGCCAUGGUGGUAAAGGUGGGCUUGGAUGUUACAAUGGUAGCUGUGUUGAGGGUGGUAUUUCAUAUGGAAAUGCAGAGUUACCUUGUGAACUUGGUAGUGGAAGUGGUAAUGAAAAAUCAUCCGGUUCAACUGCAGGUGGUGGUAUCAUAGUAAUGGGUUCAUUGGAGCAUCCCUUGUCAAGUUUGUCUGUUGAAGGCUCAGUGAGAGCUGAUGGAGAGAGUUUCCAAGAAAUUGUUAAACAGGGGGAGUUCAGUGUUAGAAAUGAUACCAUUAGAGGUCCUGGGGGCGGUUCUGGAGGAAGUAUACUGUUGUUUCUGAAUACACUGGAUCUUGGUGAGUCUGCUGUUCUUUCAAGUGGUGGGGGCUAUGGUGUGCCAAAUGGGGCUGGUGGAGGAGGUGGUGGUAGGAUUCACUUCCAUUGGUCAGACAUUCCCACUGGAGAUGUGUACCAGCCCAUUGCCAGUGUAAAAGGAAGCAUUCACACUGGGUUUGUAUUUCAUCUAGUUAUCCUAAUCACCCUGAUAAUUUUUUUGAGGUUUCAAAUUUUGCAUGAAAACAUUUCUUUUUCUUUUCUUUUGGCACAUUUUAUAAAUCUUUUUUAUUUUGUGAUUGACAAGAAAAUGUUUAUUGUAAAGACUGAAUUUCAUUGUAGCCUUGAAAAAUUGGUUUGCACUUGAUCAAUUUUUCCAGGUGAGGAGUCGAGAUAAAUAGUUCCUUGGAAUUUUUGAUAUACUAGCCAAGAUUAUGCUGUACGACAAUGUGUAUAUAGUUGAUUUAUCUGAUCAUUCAUUCUGUAGUAUAGUCAGUUUGAGUUAUAUAUAUAUAUAUAUUCUUGAAAGGCCUUUGUUCAAUAAGAUAAACUGAGAAUCUAAAUGGUAAUAGUGGUAAUACUCAACUGAGCUUGCAUCUCAAUCUGAUUUGAGGUUGCUUACAUGGUUCAUUUUCCUUAAGUCUACUUGGUAUAGGGCUUUUUUAAUAAAAUGCUCUUGUGCGGCUAAAUCCAUCUAACCACUUUGGCUUGUGUGGUUAAAUUGGGCAACAAAAUAAUGACAUAAAUGACUAUAUUGAAUUUGAGAAAAUUUGAACUCAAAAUGAGAGACUGAGAAAUGUUGGGUGGACAAAACUAUCCAAAUGCCUCAAUAGCACAUUGGUAAUGGCACUAUUAAUGAUGGAGGGCUGUAGCAUGUUAUUACCAUUAGUAUGGGGGUUGGGUAUGCAUAACCUGGGGGAGACUGCUCUCUGGUGCUUUUGCCUUCAUAAUUUUUUUGAAUACAGUAUGGAGAACAGAGGACCGUCCUCUUUCUACAGCAUUGUUGUGUGGCGCUUCACAUAAAUUGCGUUUCAUUCAUUCACCCACUGGAAGCUAUGGAUUUCUAUGCUAUCUAACAUAAACUUACUCUUCCUGGGCUUCUUUUGGUCUCUGUUGAAAAACUGAAAGUAGUAUGUUUUGGUUAUCUCCUUGCAUUUGCUACUUACCAAUAGGGCAGUUCUUUUAUUUUGAAUGAGCUGUUUGAGAAAGUAGAAUUUCUUGCCUUAUCAUAAUAUGUGGAGUUGCGUAUUUGCAUUUCUCUGGUGAAAGCUAUGGUAGGCUUGUACUAGCAAUGCUAAUUGUCGUCAAUUCCAAUAUAUUUUUGGUCUUAUUGAUAUUACAGGGGAGGGAUGGGUAGAGGUGAGGGUCAUGCUGGACAAAAUGGAACGGUGACUGGGAAAGCUUGCCCAAAAGGGCUGUACGGAGAAUUUUGCAAGGAAUGUCCAGCUGGCACUUAUAAGAAUGUUACUGGAUCUGAUAGAGCUCUUUGCCGUCCCUGCCCUCUCAAUGACCUUCCCCAUCGAGCUAUUUAUAUUGCUGUCCGAGGUGGUAUUGCUGAAACACCAUGUCCCUACAAAUGCAUCUCAGACAGAUUUCACAUGCCACAUUGUUAUACAGCGCUUGAAGAGUUGAUUUACACUUUUGGUGGUCCAUGGUUAUUUUGUCUUCUUCUUGUGGGGCUUCUCAUUCUCUUAGCCCUGGUACUUAGUGUUGCGCGGAUGAAAUUUGUUGGUGUUGAGGAAUUACCAGGCCCUGCACCCACUCAACAUGGCUCUCAAUCUGAUCACUCAUUCCCUUUCUUGGAGUCGUUGAAUGAGGUUUUGGAAACAAAUAGAGCUGAGGAGUCUCAGAGCCAUGUACACAGAAUAUAUUUUAUGGGCCCUAAUACUUUUAGUGAACCUUGGCAUCUUCCGCACACUCCUCCUGAGCAAAUAAAAGAGAUUGUAUAUGAAGGUGCUUACAAUACAUUUGUGGAUGAGAUCAAUUCUUUAACUGCUUAUCAAUGGUGGGAAGGUGCAUUGUACAGCAUUCUUUCUGUUCUGUCAUAUCCCCUUGCAUGGUCAUGGCAACAAUGGCGCCGGAGAAUCAAAUUGCAAAGAUUGCGUGAGUUUGUUCGAUCAGAGUAUGAUCAUGCUUGCUUACGUUCUUGUCGUUCGCGAGCUCUCUAUGAGGGGCUUAAGGUAGCUGCAACUCCUGACUUGAUGCUUGCAUAUCUCGACUUCUUCCUUGGUGGAGAUGAAAAGAGAGCUGAUAUCCCUCCCUGUCUACAUCAAAGGUUUCCCAUGUCUUUAGUUUUUGGAGGAGAUGGAAGUUAUAUGUCUCCUUUCUCCCUUCGCAGUGACAAUAUUCUCACCAGCCUCAUGAGCCAGUCUGUUCCUCCAACCAUUUGGUAUCGAUUAGUGGCUGGACUAAAUGCGCAAUUACGCUUGGUUCGAUGUGGACGCUUAAAGAUUACUUUUGGUCAUGUUAUUGGCUGGCUUGAAACACUUGCAAAUCCUGCUUUAAGUGCAUACAGUGUACAUGUUGAUCUUGCAUGGUUUCAACCUACGUCUUCUGGAUAUUGCCAGUUUGGGCUUGUGGUAUGUGCAACUGAGAAUGAGAGUGUUGCCCCAUCAAUUGAAGGUCAAGAUGGAUCUCUGUUACCUGGGAAACAGUCAUGUUUGCCUAGAUUGCAUAGAGAGGGUCGACUGGAGUACCAGAAAGCAAAUGAACAGAUAAUGACACACACAGGAAUUUCUGGAGGCAUUUUGCAUUCGAAGAAUUUACGAACACUAAAAUUAAGGAGGACAAUAUGUUAUCCUUUUGGUUUCAUCCUUUAUAAUUCUAAACCUGUUGGUCAUCAGGAUCUUGUUGGUCUGUUCAUCUCUAUACUUUUACUAGCAGAUAUUAGCUUAGUACUGCUAACUUUGCUACAGAUGUAUUCUAUUUCAUUGCUCAAUUUCCUAUUAGUUUUAUUUAUCCUUCCUCUUGGCAUACUGUUUCCAUUUCCAACUGGAAUCAGUGCCUUGUUUAGUCAUGGACCUAGGCGAUCAGCUGGUCUGGCACGUGUAUAUGCUCUGUGGAACAUAACAUCCUUGAUCAAUGUUGUAACUGCCUUUGUAUGUGGAUUUGUCCAUUAUAUGAUCCGCUCAAGUAAAAAGCAUUUGAGCUUUCAGUCCUGGAAUUUUAGCAUGGAUGAAAGUGAAUGGU